GAUAUGGGCUAAGCAUCCGCUAACCGGUUCUCUAGUCUUCCGGUUUAAUCCACCUGCUUAACUCAUGGGCAUGCGGAAGGAUACUAGUARAGCUASGCAGGCGGCGAGAGGCAWCCGGUACUCCCAUGGGUAGGGGUAGAAAUCGCGUUGAUCCUCUUGAAGACCACCCCUGGCGAACGCGGCUUGCCAKAACGCGCUCGACASUGAUGGAUGAAAGCUGGAGGAGCAAACUGKAUUAGAUACCCSGGUACUCCCAGCUGUAAACGAUGCAAACUCGGUGAUG
rnacentral:rRNA from 1 species